CCUACGGGGGGCUGCAGUGGGGGAUAUUGCACAAGGGGGGGAACCCUGAUGCAGCGACGCCGCGUGGGUGAAGGAGCGUUUCGGCGCGUAAAGCCCUAUCGGCAGGGAAGAAGAAAUGACGGUACCUGAGUAAGAAGCACCGGCUAAAUACGUGCCAGCAGCCGCGGUAAUACGUAUGGUGCAAGCGUUAUCCGGAUUUACUGGGUGUAAAGGGAGCGCAGGCGGCACGGCAAGCCUGAUGUGAAAGCCCGCGGCCCAACCGCGGGACUGCAGUGGGAACUACCGGGCUGGAGUGCCGGAGAGGUAGGCGGAAUUCCUGGUGUAGCGGUGAAAUGGGUAGAUAUGAGGAGGAACCCCGGUGGCGAAGGCGGCCUACGGGAGGGGGACUGACGCGGAGGCUCGAAGGCGGGGGGAGCAAACAGGAUUAGAUCCCCCAGUAGUC
rnacentral:rRNA from 1 species